rnacentral:rRNA from 1 species
UGGUGAGAGGGACGGAGCAGGCUAAGCAAGCAUGGCGAUGGUAGUCCAUGUGAAAGUGUGUAGGCUAGCGACUUAGGUAAAUCCGGGUUGCUGUUAGGCUGAGACACGAGACGAGUCACCAAGGUGAUGAAGUUGCUGAUGCCAUACUUCCAGGAAAAGCCUCUAAGCUUCAGAUUAUACCGAAUCGUACCCCAAACCGACACAGGUGGUCAGGUAGAGAAUACUAAGGCGCUUGAGAGAACUCGGGUGAAGGAACUAGGCAAAAUCGUACCGUAACUUCGGGAGAAGGUACGCUCCGAUUGGUGAUGAGACUUGCUCUCUAAGCUGAUUGGAGCCGCAGUGACCAGGUGGCUGGGACUGUUUAUUAAAAACACAGCACUGUGCAAAAUCGCAAGAUGACGUAUACGGUGUGACACCUGCCCGGUGCCGGAAGGUUAAUUGAUGGGGUUAUCUUCGGAGAAGCUCUUGAUCGAAGCCCCGGUAAACGGCGGCCGUAACAAUAACGGUCCUAAGGUAGCGAAAUUCCUUGUCGGG